UGAAAGCAGUGCAAAGUACUGUGGUAUAUGAACUGUAUAGCCAAAUUUUGGUUGACAUAUUUAUUUAAUUAAAAUAGUUGGUUGUCUUUCAGUUCUUUUCAGUUUUAGUAAACUUGAGUGCUUAAUUACGGUCAUCCACUGACACAACAAACCAAAGCACCUGUGCUGGAUGAGAACAAAACAGUCAUGUGAUUAAUUGUGCCCUGAAAUAGGCUUCUUAGUAGAGAUGAGAAAAAGACAGACUUGAAAACGAUGGGAGACUUGGUACAGAACCUUUGGUACAUCCAUAAUGAAUUCCUCUGAGGAGACAUGAUGAAUGGAUUGUCCUGUGGCUUUUGUGCUAAUGUUCUGGAUGUUAAAUACUUAACAGAGUUCAGAUGCCGGCUGAGACGAUGGGCGAUGGGUCUCAUGACUCAUGGCUGGACAACUGAAAGAGGGAAACUGUGAAAUGACUUCAAGAUCCAAAGAAGAGAGCUCUGGAGAACCAUGUGCCGUUUCCGUGAAAUUCCUCUUGGAAUCCCUCUUCAGUCAUGCACUCUAAGUGAGGCUGGACUCAGGGCCGAGCACCUGUUCCAUCGUUUUUGCCUUCAGCAAUGAGAAUGACGGCAGAGGUCUGAGCACUUGUCAGGCGGUGAACGCUGCAGUGGAGGAGAUGGAUGUCAUGUUGGGGCCCAUGUGUUGGACAGGGAGCGAUAAUAAAGCGUAAUUCGAUGGUGGUGGAGCACUGAGUUGGGCCUGGAGCGGGUGAUGGAAAGCUCUGAGGCUGCUGCACGCAAUCCAGUGGACGGAGGAGACACUUCCUCAAUCCUUCUUUAGCUUCUUCGGAUGUGUGUGCAGAGAGCUGUGAUCCUAAUAAAGCCGUAUAUCACUGCAGUACACUUCUGCUUUCACUAACAAUAAAAAAGGUAUUUUGGCAUCAC
ensembl:lncRNA